GGAGUGGGUGGCAUGGUAAGA
rnacentral:miRNA from 1 species